GACGAACGCUGGCGGUGUGCUUAACACAUGCAAGUCGAACGGUAAGGCCCUUUCGGGGGUACACGAGUGGCGAACGGGUGAGUAACACGUGAGUAACCUGCCCUCAUCUCUGGGAUAACAGUCGGAAACGGUUGCUAAUACUGGAUAUGAGCUUGCAAGGCAUCUUGUGGGUUGGAAAGAUUUUUUUUGGUUGGGGAUGGACUCGCGGCCUAUCAGCUUGUUGGUGAGGUAGUGGCUCACCAAGGCUUCGACGGGUAGCCGGCCUGAGAGGGCGACCGGCCACAUUGGGACUGAGAUACGGCCCAAACUCCUACGGGAGGCAGCAGUGGGGAAUAUUGCACAAUGGACGGAAGUCUGAUGCAGCAACGCUGCGUGCGGGAUGACGGCCUUCGGGUUGUAAACCGCUUUCAAUUGUGACGAAGCUUUUUUGUGACGGUAGCAGUAGAAGAAGCACCGGCUAACUACGUG
rnacentral:rRNA from 1 species